rnacentral:rRNA from 1 species
UCCUACGGGAGGCAGCAGUGGGGAAUAUUGGACAAUGGGCGAAAGCCUGAUCCAGCCAUGCCGCGUGUGUGAAGAAGGUCUUCGGAUUGUAAAGCACUUUAAGUUGGGAGGAAGGGUAGUAGCCUAAUACGUUGCUACUUUGACGUUACCGACAGAAUAAGCACCGGCUAACUUCGUGCCAGCAGCCGCGGUAAUACGAAGGGUGCAAGCGUUAAUCGGAAUUACUGGGCGUAAAGCGCGCGUAGGUGGUUCAGUAAGUUGGAAGUGAAAUCCCCGGGCUCAACCUGGGAACUGCUUUCAAAACUGCUGAGCUAGAGUACGGUAGAGGGUGGUGGAAUUUCCUGUGUAGCGGUGAAAUGCGUAGAUAUAGGAAGGAACACCAGUGGCGAAGGCGACCACCUGGACUGAUACUGACACUGAGGUGCGAAAGCGUGGGGAGCAAACAGGA